AAAAGAACCUGAAACCGUGUACGUACAAGCAGUGGGAGCACCCUUCGGGGUGUGACUGCGUACCUUUUGUAUAAUGGGUCAGCGACUUAUAUUCUGUAGCAAGGUUAACCGAAUAGGGGAGCCGGAGGGAAACCGAGUCUUAAUUGGGCGUUAAGUUGCAGGGUAUAGACCCGAAACCCGGUGAUCUAGCCAUGGGCAGGUUGAAGGUUGGGUAACACUAACUGGAGGACCGAACCGACUAAUGUUGAAAAAUUAGCGGAUGACCUGUGGCUGGGGGUGAAAGGCCAAUCAAACCGGGAGAUAGCUGGUUCUCCCCGAAAGCUAUUUAGGUAGCGCCUCGUGAAUUCAUCUCCGGGGGUAGAGCACUGUUUCGGCUAGGGGGCCAUCCCGGCUUACCAACCCGAUGCAAACUGCGAAUACCGGAGAAUGUUAUCACGGGAGACACACGGCGGGUGCUAACGUCCGUCGUGAAGAGGGAAACAACCCAGACCGCCAGCUAAGGUCCCAAAGUCAUGGUUAAGUGGGAAACGAUGUGGGAAGGCCCAGACAGCCAGGAUGUUGGCUUAGAAGCAGCCAUCAUUUAAAGAAAGCGUAAUAGCUCACUGGUCGAGUCGGCCUGCGCGGAAGAUGUAACGGGGCUAAACCAU
rnacentral:rRNA from 1 species